AGCCAUUUGUGAUUAUUUGCGUUCAGGAGAAAUCAUACGAAUCAUUUUUGUUUUUGAAACAAAACUAAAUGAAUCGUGGUGAAAACAUGUGUAUUCUUAUCUAAUGAGAAACAUAAGUGGAAGAUUAUUUAUACUGCAGCAAGAUAUGAAAACACUAAUUUCUCAUCACCACGAAACUUCCCACACGUUAUCUUGCACAUAAAGAUCUACAAAAAGAAGAAAAAAAAUAUCCUAAGAAAGAUAUCUUCUCUUUUUAUUUAUUUUACUAAAGAAGUCGCGCCAAAUGAUAAUACGCAAUUCGUAAUCUGAAGAUUAUGAAAAUAAAACAUACGCUUCCGAUGACCGCAUUAAAGAAAAAUAAAAGCUGCCGUAAGCUUUAAGAGAAGAGCUAUCACUUCAAAAGAGCACCUUCAUUUAAUAAGCACUGAUUUAGAAGAGGAAAAAAAAUAACUCAGAAGAAUAUGACAGUAUUCAACUUUGUAGCAUGAGUGAACUGUUGGAGAUAUAUUAUCAAAUGCUGAAAUCAGAAAUGAGUGUUAUUGUGAAAGACAUAAAAUUAAAUAGUUUCGAUGGAAAAUUACAAGAUAAGUACUCAUCAUUAUUGGUAGAUUUUUCAAAGAAGCAUGAAAUAACGCCAUUUUCUCAAUCCCUUGCGUAAGUAUCAAUUUAAAUUC